UACGGAGGGGGCUAGCGUUGUUCGGAAUCACUGGGCGUAAAGCGCACGUAGGCGGUUUUGCCAGUCAGGCGUGAAAUCCCGGGGCUCAACCUCGGAACUGCCUUUGAUACAGCAAGUCUUGAGUUCGAGAGAGGUGGGUGGAAUUCCUAGUGUAGAGGUGAAAUUCGUAGAUAUUAGGAAGAACACCGGUGGCGAAGGCGGCCCACUGGCUCGACACUGACGCUGAGGUGCGAAAGCGUGGGGAGCAAACAGG
rnacentral:rRNA from 1 species